GCAACCAAUUUGACAUUGUCAAGUGGAUGCUGCAGAAUUUGUAAUGAAUUUCAUGUUAAUGCCAACUCAGCUAUUAAAUAGAAAUAUAGAAUAAUUGGUAAACAAGAUAGAUGAAUAACACUACCCUUUACAGAACAAUACUACUAUGGAACAUAAAUUACUUAUUUGUAAAUUACAAAAUGUUAACAAAUGGCAAUCAUUUGGCCAAAAAGAACAAAGUAACUUGCCUUAGGGCAACUAGUUGCAAAAGCCUAAAAUCAGCCAGUAUCCACUGCAUUUCACUCAAAAUAUCUAUUAUCUGAUUAUGCCAAAGCUUGACAUUUCUUGGAGAUUCAACCUUUCCAUUUUGUUAUAUAUAGUUGUCCACCAACCAGGUUAGAUAUAAGUAAUCAAUACAAAAGCAAGAUAGAAUUCAUGAACACAUAUAAACCUCUUUUAUUUUACAUAAACUACAGAGUAACUUGAAGAACAUUAAGUUGCUACACAUACACUUAGAUUCCCAAGAUCAAAAUAUCUAAAUACGCAUCAAAUGUUAUAAUUUCGGAAAAAUAUUAAGGGCUAUCGAUCCUAGCACCAUGUUACUACUCACUAAAAGCUCAAGGUACCACUAUGUCAAGCAUCUAAUAAAAACAAACAUCUCUACAACUAGUUGCAAAAGCCUAAAAUCAGCCAGUAUCCACUGCAUUUCACUCAAAAUAUCUAUUAUCUGAUUAUGCUAAAGCUUGACAUUUCUUGGAGAUUCAACCUUUCCAUUUUGUUAUACAUAGUUGUCCACCAACCAGGUUAGAUAUAAGUAAUCAAUACAAAAGCAAGAGAGAAUUCAUGAACACAUAUAAACCUCUUUUAUUUUACAUAAACUACAGAGUAACUUGAAGAACAUUAAGUUGCUACACAUACACUUAGAUUCCCAAGAUCAACAUAUCUAAAUACGCAUCAAAUGUUAUAAUUUCAGAAAAAAUAUUAAGGCUAUCGAUCCUAGCACCAUGUUACUACUCACUAAAAGCUCAAGGUACCACUAUGUCAAGCAUCUAAUAAAAACAAACAUCUCUACA
rnacentral:lncRNA from 1 species